CUCAUUGGGGAUUCUGGGGUUAUAAUACAGGAAUUGUGGGUAAGUACAGUCACUUCUGCUCCAUGAAAGUGAGGUCAUCAUUCGUUUCAGGAAGUUGAGUGAGGCCUGAGACAGCAAUGUUUCGUUUAGCCUGGCGGUGGCCCUCCUUGUCUUCAAGAAGAGCAUCCGUGGCUAGCAGUGGAAGAUGGGGUUGGGCCCCAGGACUGACCAGGCAGUUCUGCCACCUUCUAGGAGUGUGAAAUUGGGAAGUAAUUCAAAAUGUAUGUGCCUAGCAUUCCUUUUAUGUAACAUGAGGGGAAUAGAAGUACCAAACCGAUGCAGUUCAGUGGAGAAUUAAAUGAGAUAGUCACAAGUAAAAGGUGGUAAGUGUGGUUCAUUUUAUUAAUUUUCUUUUAAUUUCCCGAGAAGCCCCAGUUACCUGAAAGCUUCUGUGAGCCUGGGAAGGGAUCAGAGUUCCACCUGCAGUGCUAUUUUGCCCCUUCUUUCUGAUCCUUACAGGAAGCAGGACGAUUCCUGGAUUCCCUUUUUAAAAAAAUGGUCACAGGAAUGAGGAAAGAAUGACUCUGGCUCCUAGCAGCAGAAUCUUAACUGAGUAUGACUUAGCAUCCUUCUUCUUGCUGUGUCAUCUCUCUUCUCAGGGCAGAAGAUAUUUACUAAUUAGCACAUUCUGCUAGCACAUCUGUGGGAAAAGAGACGCGAUCUUACUGCAUUGACCAG
rnacentral:lncRNA from 1 species